rnacentral:lncRNA from 1 species
CCCAAAGCCGGGCUGGAGCCGCGCAAAACCCGGCCCGGAGCAACCGCGGCGCGGAGCGGAGGGCGGAGCCGGUGGGUGGCGUUUGGGUGGAAACUGAGACCCAGAGAGCCGUGACUUGACUGAUCCCACAGCCAGGAAAUGGUGGAGCCUGGAUUUGAACCCCAGCUUUUAAGAAGAAGGUGCCACUGUCCUGGAAGAACUCUCAGGACAGCAUUAGUGUCUCAGGGAUCCCCCUAAUCGGAGGGGCCUUAAGGCAACCUAAUCAUGAUUGUCACUGAAGAUCCAGGAGGGCUUCCUGGAGGAGGAGGCAGCUCCAUUCUGAAAUGCCAAGGGUACAGCUUUAUUGGGACAGCCAGUGUCUCUGAAUAUGUAGGUUUUGCACAGAGCUUGUACUGCCCCAGGGCCUGUACACUGCCUGUCCCCUCUGCCUUGUGCACUCUUUCCCUAGAUGUCCAAAUGGCUCCUUUCCUCACCUACCCCAAAUCUCAAUUCCAGUGUUUCCCCAGCCUCCCCUCAUUUCAGUAAUCACUCUGCAGUGAGCUAGGAUUGCGCCACUGCACUCCAGCUUGGAUAAGAGAACAAGACCCUGUCUCUUAAC